CUUUCCAUGGGAGCAGAUUUUCACAUUACUUCCCAGAGAGCGCAUUUUGAAGGUUUACCGCUACGGCAACAACUUCUUAAGAAGUUUGUGAAGUCCCCUAGACUACUUGGCUGACAUUGGCGUGUUUCUUUAUAACCUUUUUGAUAUUGUAUCACGGAAAAGACGAUAAGCAGCAUACAAACAAAGUUUUUAAACAUUAUGGCGUUUGUUUCCAUUGUUUUGGCAGCGGCUGUAGCGACCCUGCCUUCGGCAGUGUCUGCCGAUGCAUUGACGGGCUUUGGAAGUGGCGCUCUCAUACCUCUGGCCAUCGUCUUUCUGCUCCUCACUAUCGCCGUCCUGGUGACCCUCGUUGCCCUGUUCUUCAUCGCGUACAAGCGCUUCGUCUCCAAGGUUACGGAUGCUGAAAAAGAAACGGAUGUUGAUGUCCAUGCGGCUGGUAGCUCAAGAUCGGGAAUAGAAGAUAAGGUUGAAGGCCAUGACGAUCAGAAUGGCGGCAACUACGAGGAGUUAAAAAGAAACGGAUCAACAUUGACUGAGGCCAACCACAACGAGGCCUAUGAAUGUAUGGAAAUGAACGACUACGAUUACAUCGUCCCCAGGCAAAACGAAUACAACAACCCCGAUGGCCCUAUACAAGACCAGUACAACAACCCCGAUGGCCCUAUACAAGACCAGUACAACAACCCAGAGGGCCCUAUACAAGACCAGUACAACGACCCCGAGGGUCCUAUACAAGACCAGUACAACAACGCCGAUGGCCCUAUACAAGACCAGUACAACAACCCCGAGGGCCCUAUACAAGACCAGAACGAAAGCCAUGUUGGUCCUAAACAAGACCAACAGGAGGAAAGAUCAACAGAAGCUGUUGGCGACCUGUUAGCCUUGAUUGCAAACACUGACCAAUGGCAGGCUCAGGGCGACGAUGAAGCGACACAGAACCACGACGAAAAUCCAAACGAAAGGGUCACCGAAAAACCCGAAGACGCUGAUCAGCCGCAGGCUCAAGGAAUUUACACUGUAAAUGCGAACGCUGACCAACAACAUUCUCAAGGAAAUAAUCCCGCGAAUUCAAAAGCUGACCAACCACAGGAUCACGGAAUUUACAUUGUAAAUGCAAACGCUGAUCAUCCGCAGGCUCAAGAACAUACCCCAGCAUGGGUGAACGCUGACCAACAACAGGCUCAAGGAAAUAAUCCUGCGAAUUCAAACGCUGACCAACCACAGGAUCACGGAAUUUACAUUGUAAAUGCAAACGCUGAUCAUCCGCAGGCUCAAGAACAUACCCCAGCAUGGAUGAACGCUGACCAAUCGCAGGCUCAAGAACAUACUCCAGCAUGGGUGAACGCUGUCCAAUCGCAGGCUCAAGAACAUACCCCAAAAUGGGAGCACGAUGACCAAUCGCAAGCUUUAAAAAAGAUAGAUGACAAGGCGGCUUUACCCGCAGAAUCUGGCCAAUCGCAGUUCCAGGAUGUGGUAAUUGAACGCGCUGUGAAGGACAAGGGGGACUACUUACAAGAAAAAGCUCACAAACACGGGGAACAGGUAGAAGAUGUCGCAAAGCAUGCUGGAGGGAAGGACUUACAAGAAAAAGCUCACAAACACAGAGAACAGGUAGAAGAUGUCGCAAAGCAUGCUGGAGGGAAGGACUUACAAGAAAAAGCUCACAAACACGGGGAACAUGUAGAAGAUGUCGCAAAGCAUGCUGGAGGGAAGGACUUACAAGAAAAAGCUCACAAACACGGGGAACAGGUAGAAGAUGUCGCAAAGCAAGCUGGAUAUCCUUACCAAAAAAAGGUCCGGGGCUCGAAUGUAUCGAGUCUUUUGUCGCGAUUUUCAUAGAAACGCUGUCAGAUGAUCGAGUGGCUCAAUGAGUGAACACGCGGCAAGGAUGUAGCUAGAAAACUCUGUUCUAAGGGGCAAGCCUAGGAUAUUUCUUUCACUUGCUUCGGAAGCAGACGCUAUUUUUUUAUAAUGUAUUUUGUCAGCUCACUAAGCUGCCCCUAGCUGCGCGACAAGAUUCAACUUCUUUGUUAGCGCCACAAACAGACGGCGUUAGUGAUAGCGCAGAGGGCAACGAAUGAAUGGACGCUUAUCAAUAUUUCACUAUAUUGUGUCGAGUGGUGUAAAUAUAUUCAGAACCAAGGCACUUAGGACGCACUCGGAAACAAAAAUCAUGUUACGCAGGUCAACUUUUUAAGCCCUCUCAUAUAAUAUGCCACAUACUGUGUCAUCUAGAAUUUUCGAGUGGUAGUUGGUCUUAAUCCCACUAGAAAUACCGACAGGGGGAAGGGAGUUCAGAUGACGAGUAAUAUUAUCACAAUCCCUCUACGAUCAGCACUUUUCGGGAAAUACACUCAUUGAGGGUGAGCGAGACGUUAGACAUGUUUUCUCGGGUUUUGAUGGCACUCAUCUUGUUCCAUGCGCGUACCUGGGAUUGGCUGAGGUUGUGCGCAGUCCUAGACUAUAUCUGAGAUACCUAGUGGAUUGCCAGGCCGUGUUGUAUUCGCCAUGGGAUCCGUGGCAUUUAUUGCAACAGCGUCCCUUUUGCUGAUGGCUGCCAUGGCCCAAGGAGCUGAUGAUGAUACAGAUGAUGACCGCGCUCGCAUUCUAGAAAAAAAUGACGCCCUGUUUACGACUAUCAUGAUUUUCAGCUUUUUAUUCGCCAUACAACUCAUCUUAUGUAUGAUAUUCAGCUAUAAAGGCUGUCUCGCCAAAUUCAGGCCUAAGCCACCGCCUUACUUCCCGCCAACGAAUCCAUCUCUAUUAGAAGUAGAGCAGCCGCCGGCAUAUUCUGAGAGAGCGGAAACAGAGAAUGGAGAGGCAGCUCAAGAUGGCUCACCUGAUAUCACGGAGACUCGUAUUUCUAUGGAUCAGGGUGACUUAUUUCGAGAGGGCUCAUCCAAUACCACAGAUACACGUAUUUCUAUGAAUCAGGUUGACUCCAGUUCACCCGAUAUCACGGAGACUUUUAUUUCUAUGGAUCAGGGUGAAUUAAGUCAAGGAGGAUCACCCAAUUCCACAGAGACUCGUAUUUCUAUGAAUCAGGUUGACUCCAAUUCACCCGAUAUCACGGAUACUUCUAUUUCUAUGGAUCAGGGUGAAUUAAGUCAAGGAGGAUCACCCAAUAGCACAGAGACUCGUAUUUCUAUGAAUCAGGGUAAUCGAAGUCAAGUGGGCUCACCGAUAUCACGGAGACGCAUACUCUAUGACUGACUCAAGUGGAACUCACCCGAUAGAACAGCUCACAAUGAAAUGAAGCCAGGGUGGCAGCUAAUAAUACUCGAGACUCUAGAUAGAUAAGGGUGGUUUAAGUGUCGUCAUCUAAUAUCACAGAGUUCCGCAUCGAAAUGGAGCAAUGUGAUCCAAAGUCAAGAUGGGUCAUCUGAUGUCACAGAGUUCCGCAUCGAAAUCGAGCAUUACAAGAAGGGUACACUGAGUGACUGUUGGAGUGGCUGUUGUAGCUAUCGCAGAGAAUCAUCCGGAUGGAAAACAAAGGCCUGAUGGUGGUAAAUCGCGGGGGGAUUACAUCCACGGGGAUACCAUAUGUGGUGCAAAACCACCUUGAAAUAGCGGCUCAGUGGGACAUUACUAUCUUGUCAUCUUCCAUUAUGACACGAAAAAUGAUGCUUUGGUGAUAAAGCCAAAGAAUUGAAACACACCGAAA